UACGUAGGUGGCAAGCGUUGUCCGGAUUUAUUGGGUUUAAAGGGUGCGUAGGCGGUCCUAUAAGUCAGUGCUGAAAUAUCCCGGCUUAACCGGGAGGGUGGCAUUGAUACUGCGGGACUUGAGUGAAGUCGAAGUAGGCGGAAUUGACGGUGUAGCGGUGAAAUGCUUAGAUAUCGUCAAGAACACCGAUAGUGAAGACAGCUUACUAGACUUCAACUGACGCUGAGGCACGAAAGUGUGGGGAUCAAACAGG
rnacentral:rRNA from 1 species